AGAUAAAAGCGUGGUAUUUGUUUUAGAAUUCCUACGCUUUACCGAUGUUCGAAGUGGCAAAGCGUUUGAAAUCUGAAACGAAUGCGCAUAAACCUUCAUC